GCACUACUGAGGAGUCCUAUGAUAGAACGAAAUGGCCGUCCAGUGC
rnacentral:hammerhead_ribozyme from 1 species